CCUACGGGUGGCUGCAGUGAGGAAUAUUGGUCAAUGGACGAGAGUCUGAACCAGCCAAGUAGCGUGCAGGAUGACUGCCCUAUGGGUUGUAAACUUCUUUUAUAUGGGAAUAAAAUGUUCCACGUGUGGGAUUUUGUAUGUACCAUAUGAAUAAGGAUCGGCUAACUCCGUGCCAGCAGCCGCGGUAAUACGGAGGGUCCGAGCGUUAUCCGGAUUUAUUGGGUUUAAAGGGAGCGUAGGUGGAUUGUUAAGUCAGUUGUGAAAGUUUGCGGCUCAACCGUAAAAUUGCAGUUGAAACUGGCAGUCUUGAGUACAGGAGAGGUGGGCGGAAUUCGUGGUGUAGCGGUGAAAUGCUUAGAUAUCACGAAGAACUCCGAUUGCGAAGGCAGUUCACUGGACUGCAACUGACACUGAGGCUCGAAAGUGUGGGUAUCAAACAGGAUUAGAUACCCUAGUAGUC
rnacentral:rRNA from 1 species